AAGCAGCAUAGUCAGAUGGAGUUCUAAGCAGUGUCAGGGUCACUUACUAGAAUCUGCAUGGAGUAGCUGUGGCAGAAGAAGAAACAAAAUGGAGAAACGCUUGAGUGGCUUGUCCUGUGUCAUUUCACCAGACGGUGCAUGAACUGAGAUUCAAAUAUCAAGAUGUAGAACUCUCCGCUCCUCCUCCAGUACCAUGUCUGCCUGCAUGCUGCCAUGCUUCCCACCAUGACGAUAAUGAGCAAAACUGUAAUCCAGCUCCAAUUUCUGCUGGAUGCUAUGAAGGCCUGAUUUGAUGUUAUCUCUGUUCCUAUUUCUUCUUUGAUUGAAAGACUUACAAGAAGGGACAUGCUGCUCUGCCUGGGACCUUCUCUAUCAGGAACUCCAACUGACAGCCCUCCCAAGGCUUCGUUAGCCUAUUACUGCUAGAUGUUCAGAACACCCAAAUGGAUGAUGUUUUACUGUAUACUUAGUAAAAUCACUCAGGUAAAGUCAAAA